rnacentral:tRNA from 1 species
GUCGGGAUAGCUCAGCUGGUAGAGCANAGGACUGAAAAUCCUCGUGU